rnacentral:rRNA from 1 species
UACGUAGGGGGCAAGCGUUGUCCGGAAUCAUUGGGCGUAAAGAGCGUGUAGGCGGCCAGAAAAGUCCGCUGUGAAAACUCGAGGCUCAACUUCGAGCUGUCGGUGGAAACUUUCUUGCUAGAGUCCGGAAGAGGAGAAUGGAAUUCCUGGUGUAGCGGUGAAAUGCGCAGAUAUCAGGAAGAACACCCGUGGCGAAGGCGGUUCUCUGGGACGGUACUGACGCUGAGACGCGAAAGCGUGGGGAGCGAACAGG